rnacentral:rRNA from 1 species
UAUGUGAACUGCGGAAGGAUCAUUGUCGAUGC